GUAACUACGGGAAACUGUAGCUAAUACCGCGUAGAAUCGAGAGAUGAAAGUGUGGGACCUUCGGGCCACAUGCCAUAGGAUGAGCCCAAGUGGGAUUAGGUAGUUGGUGAGGUAAAGGCUCACCAAGCCGACGAUCUCUAGCUGGUCUGAGAGGAUGACCAGCCACACUGGGACUGAGACACGGCCCAG
rnacentral:rRNA from 1 species